rnacentral:rRNA from 1 species
CCGAGUGGUAGGGACUUUUACUUGGCCUAAAGCGUCCGUAGCCGGUUCGGUAAGUUUCUCGUUAAAUCUAACGAUCUAAUCGUUAGGCUGCGGGAAAUACUGCUGGACUAGGAGGCGGAAGAAGCCGACGGUACUCUUGGUGUAGGGGUGAAAUCCUAUAAUCCCAAGAGGACCACCAGUGGCGAAGGCUGUCGGC